rnacentral:rRNA from 1 species
GAUGAACGCUGACAGAAUGCUUAACACAUGCAAGUCUUUGGCGAAGCUGUGCUUGCACAGCCUAGCCAAGGCGGACGGGUGAGUAACGCGUAAGGAACUUGCCCUGCAGUCAGGGAUAACAGACGGAAACGACUGAUAAGACCUGGUAAAGUCGGGCGGACUCAUGUCCAGCCUGAUGAAAAGAGAUGCUGCAGGAGAGCCUUGCGUCCUAUUAGCUUGUUGGUGGGGUAACGGCCCACCAAGGCGAUGAUAGGUAGCCGGCCUGAGAGGGUGGACGGCCACAAGGGGACUGAGAUACGGCCCUUACUCCUACGGGAGGCAGCAGUGGGGAAUAUUGGACAAUGGGGGCAACCCUGAUCCAGCAAUUCUGUGUGCACGAUGAAGGUUUUCGGAUUGUAAAGUGCUUUCAGCAGGGAAGAAAAAAAUGACGGUACCUGCAGAAGAAGCGACGGCUAAAUACGUG